rnacentral:rRNA from 1 species
GCUUCGGCCUUAGUGGCGCACGGGUGCGUAACGCGCUGGGAAUCUGCCUUCAGGUACGGAAUAACUAGGGGAAACUCGAGCUAAUACCGUAUGAUAUCGAGAGAUCAAAGAUUUAUCGCCUGAAGAUGAGCCCGCGUUGGAUUAGCUAGUUGGUAGGGUAAAGGCUUACCAAGGCGACGAUCCAUAGCUGGUCUGAGAGGAUGAUCAGCCACACUGGGACUGAGACACGGCCCAGACUCCUACGGGAGGCAGCAGUGGGGAAUAUUGGACAAUGGGGGAAACCCUGAUCCAGCAAUGCCGCGUGAGUGAAGAAGGCCUUAGGGUUGUAAAGCUCUUUUACCCGGGAUGAUAAUGACAGUACCGGGAGAAUAAGCUCCGGCUAACUCCGUGCCAGCAGCCGCGGUAAUACGGAGGGAGCUAGCGUUGUUCGGAAUUACUGGGCGUAAAGCGUACGUAGGCGGUUUAAUAAGUCAGGGGUGAAAGCCCAGAGCUCAACUCUGGAACUGCCUUUGAGACUGUUAGACUAGAACAUAGAAGAGGUAAGUGGAAUUCCGAGUGUAGAGGUGAAAUUCGUAGAUAUUCGGAAGAACACCAGUGGCGAAGGCGACUUACUGGUCUAUAGUUGACGCUGAGGUACGAAAGCGUGGGUAGCAAACAGGAUUAGAUACCCUGGUAGUCCACGCCGUAAACGAUGAUAACUAGCUGUCCGGGUACAUGGUAUCUGGGUGGCGGAGCUAACGCAUUAAGUUAUCCGCCUGGGGAGUACGGUCGCAAGAUUAAAACUCAAAGAAAUUGACGGGGGCCUGCACAAGCGGUGGAGCAUGUGGUUUAAUUCGAAGCAACGCGCAGAACCUUACCAGCGUUUGACAUCCUGAUCGCGGAAAGUGGAGACACAUUCUUUCAGUUCGGCUGGAUCAGAGACAG